GACGAACGCUGGCGGCGUGCCUAAUACAUGCAAGUCGAACGAGAGCGCCCGGUGCUUGCGCUGGUCAAUCUAGUGGCGAACGGGUGAGUAACACGUGGGUAACCUGCCCAUCAGAGGGGGAUAACAUCCGGAAACGGAUGCUAAAACCGCAUAGGUCUUCGAACCGCAUGGUUUGAAGAGGAAAAGAGGCGCAAGCUUCUGCUGAUGGAUGGACCCGCGGUGCAUUAGCUAGUUGGUGAGGUAACGGCUCACCAAGGCCGUGAUGCAUAGCCGACCUGAGAGGGUGAUCGGCCACAUUGGGACUGAGACACGGCCCAAACUCCUACGGGAGGCAGCAGUAGGGAAUCUUCCGCAAUGGACGCAAGUCUGACGGAGCAACGCCGCGUGAGUGAAGAAGGUUUUCGGAUCGUAAAACUCUGUUGUUAGAGAAGAACAAGUGCUAGAGUAACUGUUAGCGCCUUGACGGUAUCUAACCAGAAAGCCACGGCUAACUACGUG
rnacentral:rRNA from 1 species